UACGAAGGGGGCUAGCGUUGCUCGGAAUCACUGGGCGUAAAGCGCACGUAGGCGGCUUUCUAAGUCAGGGGUGAAAUCCUGGAGCUCAACUCCAGAACUGCCUUUGAUACUGGAGAGCUUGAGUCCGGGAGGGGUGAGUGGAACUGCGAGUGUAGAGGUGAAAUUCGUAGAUAUUCGCAAGAACACCAGUGGCGAAGGCGGCUCACUGGCCCGAUACUGACGCUGAGGCACGAAAGCGUGGGGAGCAAACAGG
rnacentral:rRNA from 1 species